rnacentral:misc_RNA from 1 species
UUCGUCUCUUUCUUGAUGUGGUGACCGGCGCAGGUGUGCAACGCCGCUCGCGGCGCGACAGCACCAAAGUCUCAUUAUUCACCAAGAAACGAAAGGGCGAAUUGCCCACCUCCUUUUUUCUGCGCAUCUUUUUCUCUCUGCUUCUCUGUUUCUCUUUGAAAAAUGAAAACGAGUUGUCGUCUCCCUAUCCCUCUCAUCCGUCUUGCCUCCGCCCCCCCCCCCCCCCCGAAAACAGAGCGUUAGGCCCAUAAGAAACACAUCAAUUCUAGCGUCUCAUCCCUAUCACAUCUUUUGGUGCGCUCCUUGACGGACUAAACACGCUCCCAUUUCUCCCUCUGGAAGGCUCUACAAGCCAAUGAAAACGGACAGGUUGCCAAACACUCAGCUAUUUCCGUGUCCACAGAGCUCAAAACAUUUCUAUUCGCCUCGACCAUCCGCAAUCAUCCGUUUCUUCUCUAGACAGGCACACACAAACGCACACACGCCACAGCAAGCCUCCCACCCUCUCACUCCAUUCCCGCGGCAGCCAUGAGCGCCUCCCUCAAGAAGACGGCACUCCACAGCUUCCAUCUCGCUCAGCAAGCGAAGAUGGAUGCAUUCGCGGGCUAUCACAUGCCCAUUUCCUAUGGCAGGUUUGGUGUGCUGAAGGAGCACUUGUACACUCGCCAGGUCGCCGGCAUAUUUGACGUAUCGCACAUGGGUCAGUAUGAGGUUCGCGGCGCGGACCGUGAGAAGUUCAUGGAGCACGUCACCCCGGUGGACCUCCAGCGCACCCGGGCCGGACAAGGGGCGCUGACUAUGCUGACGAACGCGCAAGGAGGCAUCAAAGACGACUGCAUCGUGACGAGGAUGGCCGACCAUCUGUUCCUUGUGCUGAACGCUGGGUGUAAGGAGAAGGAUGUGGCGCACAUGGAGCGUGUGCUGCGUGAGGGCGCGAUGAAGGGUGCGGAUGUGCAGCUUGUGCCGCUGGAUCGCUCGCUUAUCGCGCUGCAGGGCCCGCAGGCCGCCGCGAUCCUCUCCGAGUUCAUGGAUGACGUGCCGGACAUGGGCUUCAUGCAGUGCCGCCAGAGGGUGAGCAUCAAGGGCAUGGAGGUGCAGGUGACGCGGUGCGGCUACACGGGCGAGGACGGCUUCGAAAUGUCUGUGUCGAACACGGACAUUGUAGCGUUUGUGGAGCUCCUCAUGUCGAGGAAGGCGGAAAUGAUCGGCCUGGGUGCUCGCGACAGCCUUCGUCUGGAGGCGGGGUUGAACCUGUACGGUCACGAGCUGACCGAGGAUAUCAACCCUGUGGCGGCUCGCUUCAUGUGGGCGAUUUCGAAGCGCCGAAUGGCGGAGGGCGGCUUCAUUGGCUACGAGCCGAUUAAGUACUUCCGGGACAACGCUAGCAAGGGCGCUGUGCCGCGGCUGCGAGUGGGCCUCGUUUCCACUGGUCCGGUUGCUCGUGAGAAGACUGUCAUCGAGGUGGGUGGGAAGCCGGUGGGCGAGGUGACCAGUGGCUGUCCGUCUCCGUGCUUGAAAAAGAACAUCGCCAUCGGCUACCUCGACCGUAAGCUGGCCAAGGAUGGCGCGAAGGUGGACCUGGUUGUGCGGGGCCGCCGCGUGGCUGCUGAGGUGGUCACUCCGCCGUUCGUGCCUACCCGGUACUACCGCAAGCCCAAAUGAAACGCCCGUGCUCCGACAAAUACAGGCUACGUAACCGAUGUAACGUCGAAUGACCGAGGAAAGUAAAUGCGACGCAGGGAGCCUGGAGGAAGAAGGCGAGAGAGCUGUGUAUACGGACGGUACACCCUCUCGCCUCCGCUACAGCCCGUAUCAUCUCUGACCUGACUCCACGUUUCUUGCACACCCAGUUUUCGACUCCCUGCCCUUCGGAAG